UUAUUUUUUUAGUCUUUUGGCUAAGAUCAAGUGUAAUAUUUGUUUUACCAGUUCAAUAUCUGGUAUAUGAACAUAUGUUCACUUUGACAUUAAAUACAUUUAUUAUGGGUAUUUUUAUGUGUAGGGUCCAUUAAUACUCUCAAAUGUGGCUUAGUCACCCAAU
rnacentral:snRNA from 1 species